rnacentral:lncRNA from 1 species
GACCCCAUUGGGAUGGAGGUGGGACCCCCAGCUGGGAUGGAGGUGAGACCCCAUUGGGAUGGAGGUGGGACCCCCCCAUUGGGAUGGAGGUGAGACCCCAUUGGGAUGGAGGUGGGACCCCAGUUGGGAUGGAGAUGGGGCCCCCCGGGUGGGACCCCUUCAUUGGGGUGGAGAUGGGACCCCCAUUGGGAUGGGGGUGGGACCCCAUUGAGAUGGAGAUGGGACCCCCAGUUGGGAUGGAGAUGGAGCCCCCUGGUGGGACCCUCCAUUGGGAUGGAGGUGGGACCCCCAGUUGGGAUGAAAGUGGAACCCCUAUGGGAUGGAGGUGGGACCCCAUUGGGAUGGAGGUGGGACCCCCAGUUGGGAUGGAGGUGGGACCCCUGUUAGGGUGAAAGUGGGGUCCCCCAUUGGGAUGGAGGUGGGACCCUCCAUUGAGAUGGAGGUGAGACCCCAUUGGGAUAGAGGUGGGACCCCCAGUUGGGAUGAAAGUUGGACCACCCCAUUGGGGUGGAGGUGGGACCCCCAGUUGGGAUGAAAGUGGGACCCCCAGUUGGGAUGGAGAUGGGCCCCCCCGGGUGGGACCCCUUCAUUGGGGUGGAGAUGGGACCCCAUUGGGAUGGAGGUGGGACCCCAUUGGGAUGAAAGUGGGACCCCCAUUGGGAUGGAGAUGGGGCCCCCCAGGUGGGACCCUUUCAUUGGGGUGGAGAUGGGACCCCAUUGGGAUGGGGGUGGGACCCCCAGUUGGGAUGAAAGUGGGACCCCCAUUGGGAUGGAGGUGGGACCCCCAGCUGGGAUGGAGGUGAGACCCCAUUGGGAUGGAGGUGGGACCCCGUUGGGAUGCAGGUGGGACCCCCAGUUGGGAUGGGGAGUGGGACCCCCCAUUGGGGUGGAGUUGGGACCCCGUUGGGAUGGAGGUGGGACCCCCAGUUGGGAUGGAGAUGGGGCCCCCUGGGUGGGACCCCUUCAUUGGGGUAGAGGUGGGACCCCAUUGGGAUGGGGACUGGGACCCCCCCGGUGGGACCCCUCCUUUGGGGUGGAGAUGGGACCCCCGCCCACCUCCACCAGUUUGUAGAGGAAGGAGAAGACCAUGGAGGCGUUGGCGUUCUUCUUGGUGACAGCCACCACUGCGUGCGGGGUCAAGGA